rnacentral:rRNA from 1 species
AAUGAACGCUGGCGGCAUGCCUAACACAUGCAAGUCGAACGAAGGCUUCGGCCUUAGUGGCGCACGGGUGCGUAACGCGUGGGAAUCUGCCCUUGGGUUCGGAAUAACAGUUAGAAAUGACUGCUAAUACCGGAUGAUGUCGUAAGACCAAAGAUUUAUCGCCCAAGGAUGAGCCCGCGUAGGAUUAGCUAGUUGGUGGGGUAAAGGCCUACCAAGGCGACGAUCCUUAGCUGGUCUGAGAGGAUGAUCAGCCACACUGGGACUGAGACACGGCCCAGACUCCUACGGGAGGCAGCAGUGGGGAAUAUUGGACAAGGGGCGAAAGCCUGAUCCAGCAAUGCCGCGUGAGUGAUGAAGGCCUUAGGGUUGUAAAGCUCUUUUACCCGGGAUGAUAAUGACAGUACCGGGAGAAUAAGCUCCGGCUAACUUCGUG